GGUCGCUGGUGGCCGUACCGUUGCUGUCCCGAGGCCUGGGCGUCUCCGACAACUACCUGGCCAUCCUGGGGGCCUUGGCCUCCGUCGCCGACUACACCUUCUACGGCCUCGUCUCCAAGAACGCAGAGUUCCUCGUCUGGAUAGCACCUGCGGCGGCGCUCCUUGUUAACUCCUGUGUCAUCGCUAUCAGGUCCAUUCUCUCCAAGUUUGUGACGGGAGAUGAGUUGGGCAAAGUCUCGUCGGUGAUGGGGGCUCUGGACGGAGCUAUAGCUAUGGUCAUCUUCUCCCUCUACACCGCCAUCUACCACGCCACGGUCCACGUCUUCCCCGGGGCCCAGUUCUUCUUCGGCGCCGCCGCUAAUCUCCUCAUGACCCUCAUAUUUAUCUUCAUCAUAGCCUCUUCGACCUCCAAAAGUUACAGCGUCGACGACCUCGAGACUUCGGAGGGUAAAGACGCCGCCGUCAAGCCCACUUCGCUGCGAUUCUUGAGCGAGAAUCACACCAGCCACCUGGCGGCAGCCGCUGACAAUCCUCACGACCUGGACGCUCAGCGAACCUCCCUUGUUCUCUCCGACGUCAAUUUCCACAUUGCCACGCCUCUGAAGAAGAAGAAAGAUCUCAAACCGGCGAAGAAGGAGCAGAAGGCCGGCAGCAUAGUCCUGUCUACCGUGAGCGAGAAAUGUGAGUUCGAUAGGAAGGUCGUUGAAGAAGAACUAACUUUCCCCCAGAAGCUCGCAUCUAGGCGGUCUCUGCAGCCUAGGAAAGACGAACCUACCGGUGUUGUUAAUACCUCGUUGACCACUGGAGAUGAGAUUGUGGCUCUCAACGGAGGCCAGGACCAGAGCGAAGUGGUUCUUAGUCCGGGUGAUCUCGUGGCAAGAACUGAGGCGAAGUAAACACAUCGAGUCAAAACUAACCGACUCUUUACCUAUAUCAAGAGUUUUGGUAUGAUCGAUAUACCAGCCGACUCUUUACCUAUAUCAAGAGUUUUGGUAUGAGCGAGAUAGGAGACUUCCUUCGCCAGAGCCCACGAAGAGCGGCAUAUGGCAGGCUUGGGACUGACGAGGAUAAUGAAGAUGAAGAUGAAGAUGAUGAUGAUGAAGAUGAUGAUGAAAACAGUCCUGUGAUAAUUAUUGUAAUUCUCGACACGUGGCUGUGCGUUCUAGUACUGCCGCCAAUUCUAGCACCUCCCACAACGGUAUUAAUCUAACCUAUCACGACAUUCAUUAAACACAUGCCGACUAAAUGCUGAUAAUUCUUUUACGUACAUGACAGUAGCCUAGACGUACAUAUCGGUACCGCCUACGUACACAUCGGUAGAUAUUACGCACACACAUCUGGAAUAAUGAAACGUCCACAAGUAUUGUUGACUUACACACCAGAGUACCAAUUUGCACAUCGUUAAUACUCACGUCAAUACCAUUAGUAGUCUGGUUCCAGCAACGUCAGUACUGAUUGCAUGUUUUCUUAAACCACUUGUGACUAUGAAGCAUGAAUGCAUAUGCUGCCCUGUCUAGCUCUGCAUGACCAUGGAAGCAUUGAUGCACAUGGUUCCGCUCAAGUCCCAGUGUAGGCAGCAAUAAUCCUUCUUACAUGGUUGAAAAAUGCCAUAAUUCCUUUUCCUAUUUCCAAGAUUUUUAAGAACCAAUUACACCUGUUAUUUAGCCCCAAAACUCUCGGCUCAUUGAAUGACUGGAGAUACAGUCUUCGACAUGAAGAGACGAUGACAUCAGUUAAUGACGUCGAUACAAGUCUUGUUUCUAAAGAAGUGGAAAAAUAAUUGAAGCUCUUAUGAGCUUGACCUGAAGGCCUCCUUCUCUCAGUGAUUGAUGGUCCAGAGGCUCUGGGACUGUCCCUUCUGGUCCAGAGGCUCUGGGACUGUCCCUUCUGGUCCAGAGGCUCUGGGACUGUCCCUUCUGGUCCAGAGGCUCUGGGACUGUCCCUUCUGGUCCAGAGGCUCUGGGACUGUCCCUUCUGGUCCAGAGGCUCUGGGACUGUCCCUUCUGGUCCAGAGGCUCUGGGACUGUCCCUUCUGGUCCAGAGGCUCUGGGACUGUCCCUUCUGGUCCAGAGGCUCUGGGACUGUCCCUUCUGGUCCAGAGGCUCUGGGACUGUCCCUUCUGGUCCAGGGAGGUGUGGGACUGCCAGCUGGGUGCAGGUAUCAGGCGGGCCCAGUACAACACCGUCCACUGCCCCCAGCGCACAAGAGACGGUAGAAACAAACUUAUAUACAAAUACCUUCAUUAGCUUUUUUUAUGGUAGUUAGUUUUUUGUACAUAUAGAUAAUAAUAAUACUGAGGUAGGGGGAAGGGGAGCGUGCCUCGCUCAGCCUGAUUCACCAAAGUCUAGUCAUAGACUGAAUGCUUAGACUUUUCAACUGCAAGUUUCACUAGUCGCGUAGCUAGCAACCUGAGUUACCAGGACGCUUAUGUAAGGUAUAUGAGAGUAGGCUUGUAUAAGGUAUAUGAGAGUAAGCUUGCCUGUCCUUCACCACCUUAUCUUGCUAGCGUGUAAUUACUAUGUAAUUUGUGUUCAAUAAAUGAUUCUCCUUUGCGUCAAAAA
rnacentral:misc_RNA from 1 species